UGAUUGACUACUGAUUAUUGACACUUGAGCAUGGUGGUUUUCCCUUUGGAAUCCUGGCCCACUGCUCUUCCCUUUGCAGGAAGAAGACACUUACAUUACCUUGUUAAUAACAUGAAGACAUCUUUCAACAGAAGCUUCAGAGGCCAAUAAUUUUGAGAUCUUGAUGGAUAGAGGAAAGAGUUUCUCAAAUCUGAGCAAUACAGGGAGAAUAUCUAUAAGUAUUGUAUUGGGGAAGGUCAGGUAGCAUACUGUACUAGAGAGGAAAACUUGUUGAAUUGUGGUGGGGGAAUCUAAAGAUGUUACACUAGGAAGUAAGCAAAAGAAAGAGGCUGAAUCUUGGGCCCCUCCCCUACACUACUUCCUGUUCUUCCUUCCCAACUGUCUUGAUGGAGAUUUUCUCACAGAUGCUGGCAACCACUCUAGUCCAGGGACCUAUAAGACAGGAAGAGAGAGCAAGAGAGCAGUCUCUGACAGAGUUCAGCUACAGAGAGAGAGUGGGGGAGGAACAAGAAGAAAAAACUGAAAUUUCCAGGAGAGAACCAGAAGCUUGGAGAAGUCCCACCAGCCACUCUCUCACUUCCAGCUUGGAGCCAGAGGGAAGAGGUAGAUCUCCUAGGCUGGGAAGAAGCCUGUCUCUCUCUGGAGAUCAACUGCCUCUUUCUGAAUCUCUGGAUGCCUCUCACUCAACUCUCAAUAACAGCAAUCAAGGCCAUCAAUGGAUAUUGUGGACUGGGACUUUGAAGAAAGCUGUCCAUAGAGAUCCCUUUCAAAGAUCUCACUCUCCAUAUCUCUCUCCCUAUCUAUGCCUGGACUCCUGUAUUUAAGUAAUUAGCUCAGGAAUAGGGACCAACAGGCAGCUGGUAAAAAGAGGGAUUAAAGCUGAGAAGCCUUGAACUUCUAGUCUUUAGAGGACCAAUUUGCCAGAGGGGACAAAUUGCAGGGCUCACUAUUCACCCAGUUCCCUACUUGAUACCUUACCACACCUUCCCUGCUUGAACCCAAAUAAAUCAUCUAUUACUUUAGAUUUAGAUCUAGGC
rnacentral:lncRNA from 1 species